UACGGAGGGGGCUAGCGUUGUUCGGAAUUACUGGGCGUAAAGCGCACGUAGGCGGCUUUGUAAGUUAGAGGUGAAAGCCCGGGGCUCAACUCCGGAAUUGCCUUUAAGACUGCAUCGCUAGAAUUGUGGAGAGGUAAGUGGAAUUCCGAGUGUAGAGGUGAAAUUCGUAGAUAUUCGGAAGAACACCAGUGGCGAAGGCGACUUACUGGACACAUAUUGACGCUGAUGCACGAAAGCUAGGGGAGCAAACGGG
rnacentral:rRNA from 1 species